GAACGUACCCUGGAGUGGGGGAUAACGUAGCGAAAGUUACGCUAAUACCGCAUACGAUCUAAGGAUGAAAGUGGGGGAUCGCAAGACCUCAUGCUCGUGGAGCGGCCGAUAUCUGAUUAGCUAGUUGGUAGGGUAAAAGCCUACCAAGGCAUCGAUCAGUAGCUGGUCUGAGAGGACGACCAGCCACACUGGAACUGAGACACGGUCCAGACUCCUACGGGAGGCAGCAGUGGGGAAUUUUGGACAAUGGGCGAAAGCCUGAUCCAGCAAUGCCGCGUGAGUGAAGAAGGCCUUCGGGUUGUAAAGCUCUUUUGUCAGGGAAGAAACGGUGAGGCUAAUAUCCUUGCUAAUGACGGUACCUGAAGAAUAAGCACCGGCUAACUACGUGCCAGCAGCCGCGGUAAUACGUAGGGUGCAAGCGUUAAUCGGAAUUACUGGGCGUAAAGCGUGCGCAGGCGGUUUUGUAAGUCUGAUGUGAAAUCCCCGGGCUCAACCUGGGAAUUGCAUUGGAGACUGCAAGGCUAGAAUCUGGCAGAGGGGGGUAGAAUUCCACGUGUAGCAGUGAAAUGCGUAGAUAUGUGGAGGAACACCGAUGGCGAAGGCAGCCCCCUGGGUCAAGA
rnacentral:rRNA from 1 species